rnacentral:rRNA from 1 species
CCGUCGUCAGUUCGUACUGUGAAGCAUCCUGUUAAGUCAGGCAACGAGCCGAGACCCCACGCCCACAGUUUGCCAGCGUACUCUCCGGAGUGACGGGUACACUGUGGGGACCGCCGGCUGCUAAAGCGGAGGAAGGAAUGGGCAACGGUAGGUCAGUAUGCCCCGAAUAUCCCGGGCUACACGCGAGCUACAAUGGUUGGUACAAUGGGGUAUCUACCCCGAAAGGGGAUGGAAAUCUCCUAAAGCCAAUCUUAGUCCGGAUUGAGGGCUGCAACUCGCCCUCAUGAAGCUGGAAUCCGUAGUAAUCGCGUUUCAACAGAACGCGGUGAAUACGUCCCUGCUCCUU